AUAAAUCCUGGUUAUGGAGGACCCUAGGCCCAGAACUGCACAUUUUGGAUGUCUCCCUUAUUUGAGACACAUUUCAGGUCUUGCGUCCUCUACAGUGCCCCCUGUAUGUUGAAAUGUGAUGUGCCGUUAGAGUAAGUUUGCUUGACAAUAGGCCUACUGCAGUUUUGGAACAGAUUAUCUCUUUUUAUGUGCAAUAUAACAGACAAAAAUGAAGAUAUGCUGAUAUGUCACUAUAUACCAGUGCAGCUUCAGAUGUCAGAUAAGAAUGUGUCAGUUACAAAAUUUACUAGCCUAUAUCUCAGGGGGGUGAGUUUUUUUUUUUUUUUUUUUUUUUAAAUAUCAAAAGUAUCUUAAGCUCAUGAUUUUAUUUAAUCAAAACUACAGUAAAAACAUUCAAUAAUAUUGUGAAAUGUUACAAUUUAAAAAUAACUAUUUACAAAAUGUUAUUUUUUCCUGUGAUGACGAAGCUGAAUUUUCAGCGGCCAGUCUUCAGUGUCACGUGAUCCUGAAGAAAUCAUUCUAAUAUGCUGAUUUUGUGCUCAAGAAACACUUUUGAUCAACACUAGUUUGACUAGUAAACCCAUUCCAUUAAAAUUUUGCCUGCCCAAAUGGUUACGUGUAUGCUUUAUUUCAUUGAGUGGAACAUUGUUUCCACACUGAACUCAUUGACUCAUGGAAAGGAGAGCUGCCUAUAGUACAGGCUCUGUUUUUGGGAUUCUAGUUCAGUGGCUAUUUAAGUUCAGUCCAUGUGAAAUUCCCAUCAUUUUUAAAUUGGCAGUUUCUCUUAGCAGUCCUCACCACAAUGGUAUCCCGUUUGUAUGUAUGAUUAGACUCAUCUAUUAUGUAAUACAUUACAUGAGUUAGAGGGACCGUCUUAUUUUGCGUGAUUCAACUUGUGUAUAUAAACUAAACAUUAACUGCUCAUAGUGGAUAGGAAAGUGGCAGAACACUAAUCAUAGUAGAUGCAGUUCUUGGCUACAAACCCUCAAUUUAGAGCUUUAAAUUACACACAAAGUGCAAACCUUAGAUCUGCCGUGGUCCAUGGACAACAGAAUCAACCCAUCAAAAAAUAAAAAGAAGAAAACUCUCAAACAAAACUCUGACCACAGAAACCACUCAUCCAUUACUCUGACUCCAGUUCUCGCUGAGCUGCUCCGAUCAUUCCAAAACAUUACAUCAUUGCACAGAGAGGGAACAUCGCUACUAUGGCCAGAGCGGCUGCCAAGGCGUCUGCACAGGACUGUACACUGACUUCUUUGUGAUGUCCACAAUACGUAUCCAAGGCGACCCCUAGAGAGGACGGCCCAUAAAGGAACGUUUCUUGUCUUCCACGACGACACUGGUAAUGUUAAAUAUUCUUUCUCUGACUGUACUGUUGCUGACCAGACUGUUAUGGUUUGAAGAUGCUGCUGAUGUCUGCCGCAGGAACUUCCCAACAGGCCGUAGUGCAUCCAGAAGCCAUGUUUGAGGUCUGCUCAGCUUGUUUAUGUACGGUUACACCCAGAGCUGAAUUUAACCCCAGCUUCCAUCUGCUGCAGCACCCAGGGCCCUGCACGGAGAUGAGACCGGUUUGGGUCGAUUACAUUUUGGGAGUCUCUCCUAAACUGGUGCUGUUCCUCCCUCCUGGUCAUGCCACAGAGCUAGUAUUCUGGGCUUCAGUGUGCCCUAUUGGCCUAGCCACAGGCAGGCAGCCUUUCAUUACGCUAGCCGAAGGAGGUGCCCUGGACAUCCCCAUCGAAGACACCAUCACCACACCCCAAAGUGUGCCCAGCUCCUUGCGUCUCUGUAUACGUCAACAAGAGAGAUGAACAAAACAGCCACUCUGUAUGCAUGUCGUUUGAUUGAAAAUUGUCAAGGUAGCUGAACCACUUAUAAAUCUAAAGCUUGUGAGCUGUCCUUGUUCUAGCAUGAUGAUAUUAACUGGUGUGCUUCUUAUUUGAAUCAUUUUUAUUGUGACAAUUUGUGAGGUUUAAUGAGAAAAUAAUAAUAUGUAAUUACUUUUAUUGUCAUUCACAAAAUCUUUUCAUCCUGACAUGUAUGGGCCUGUGAUGGACUGGCCAUUUUUCCAGGGUGUUUCCAUGUCUAUGACGCUGGGCUCCGGCAUCCCCACAACCCUAAAGGGGACAAGCGGUUUGGAAACUGGAUAAAUGAAUGUCAUGGCUGGAACUACAACGCCCUCUGCUGAUGAAAUACAACUUGCAAAGCAGUUCCUUCCUUUUACAUCAUAUAAAACUGCACUGGAGCUGCAUGAACUCCACGAACCUGAUGAUCCCAAUGAUCCAGUGAGCAGGGAAGAUGGAAGAACGGAAGAACAUCUUCUCCUACGCUGUUGAUGUAGUGAACGCAGUGCAGCUCUUCCGUGUUUACGUCUGAACGACGGCUCAGUAUUGGCCGACGCUGUACAUUGGAAAAUAAUCUGAAGUGUUUCGAAGAUGAAUGAAGUUUGGUACGGUUUGGUACAACAUGAAGGUGAGUAAUUAAUGACAGAAAUGACUAACCUUUAACAAUACUCACUAUUAACUACAUGGUGCAGAAUCUGAAAUAUUUAUUAAAAAUAAAUACAAAUAUAGUAAUAUUAAUGAAUAUUAUUCGCAAUAAUAAUAUAAUAAUGUUCUUUGUUUUACUUUUUUUUCACAAACGUAAAAUUUUCAAUUUAUUACCAGUAUUACCUAGAAAUAGUGCAGAAUUUGAAAUAUUUAUUAAAUAAAGUAUAAUAUUAACAGAUAUAAUUUUCUAUAAUAAUGUUUUUUGUUUGACAUUUUUUUUGAAUACUACGAUUUUCAAUUUAUUACCACUAUUACCUAGAAAUAGUGCAGAAUCUGAAACAUUAAUUAAUUAAAUAAAUAAAGCAUAAUAAUAUUAAUGAUUAUUUACAAUAAUAAUAAUAUACUUUGUUUUACAUUUUUCAAAAUGCUAAAGUUUUCAAUUUAUUACCAGGUGUAAAUUAGAAAUCUUUUUUUUUUUUUUUUUUUGAAAAAUUUUGCACGUCAUUUUUUGGUGCUGGUCAUAAAUGAGUUUGAAGAAACAUCUCAAGUUGGUGUGAGCUACAGUUGAAAAAUAUCUCACAGUAUAAACAAUAAAAAAAAGAAAGAAAGAUGCAAACCAUGUUCACACAACUGCUUACCCUGGCCUUAUUUGUGCUUUAAAAGCAGUGACUAUUUGCUGACUAUUCGGCACAUAAAACUUUCAUUUGACACAUUAAUGCUGCUGAGUGGAUUAAUGUGCAGGGCGAGGGAGCUGGUUGGCCGAGGCACCCUAACGGACACUGGAAGUGAAAAGCUGUCUCAUGCUUGAUUGGACCUCACCUCCUCGCAAACUCACGCAACCUGGCAGAGUGAACUCUGACCCCCGUCUGCGCCUAAGCUGUAGUGACACGGUCAAGGUGACAUGGCAGAGCGGAGCUGACUGAGGGAAAGGCUGUGCGCUGGUCUGUAGCCCAACGUGGUCACAUUAAGAGUCCACCAGUAAAUAAUUCAGACCGAGCAGUCGCAACAAUGCAAACAUGUUGUUAUUAGUGUUUCGCUUCAAUAUUCAUAGCUGCGAGAGGGGAUGGUGUGCUCGGAGAGUAGUGAUGGAGGGUAGUGAUGCGUUUAUGCGUGUGUGGUCUAUAUGUGUAUAUUUAUGCUUGUUGGAUUAUAGGGGGUUUGCACAGUGCCAGACCGUUUUCCUUCACAGCCACUGGCAUCUAACCCAGUUUAAAGAAAUACACUAAAAAAAAAUUAUACAUUGAAUUUACUUAACUUUUUUAUGUCAACAGGUUCCACGUAACUGGGUUGUUACUACAUUUAAUUAACAUUGUGUAUUUCAGUAUAUUACAUAAGGUUAAUUCAAUGCCAUUUAGUCAGGUUAACAUUCUUAAUUUUGUCCAAAACGAUUAAGUUUAAUAAUCCUAAAAUUAAUAUCAAACAAAAAUUAAAACAAGUAAUCCAGUUUAAUUGAUUAUUUUAUUUAGUGAAUGUGUUCAAGAACUAUUUUUACAACCUUUACAAAUGUUAUCUAACAAGAAAACCUUUUACAAAACCUUUACUCUGUAAAGACUCUUAUUGUUAGGUGGUUUUGUUAUAUCCAUGGCAUGCCCAAAGUAGUUGUUUUUAUUAUUAAAACAACUUUAAUUGUUGUUAGCAGGUCCUCACCCCAAGCACAUGGUCUAACACUUCACCACAAUGGUAACCUCCAAAAACACUAACAUUCCAGAAACUCUUUUAAAUACAAGCAUAAAAGAACAUUAAACAUUAACAACACUUUAUUUCAUAACAUUUUAUUUUAAUAUUUACUCUCCCUAUCCAGCCCUGUGCAAAGCAUGAUCGGAAGGGGAAAUCCUGUUCCUAGUUUCUAUAAUGCUAUUUUAACACAACUAAAAUCAUUUAUGUACUCUCAACUCAAAUGGAUUAAAUAAAGUGAUUGAAAAGAAUCGUGUUGGGUUAACUUAAUUUGCUUAAGUAAAUUGAACAAGCAUCAAAUGUUAUUUUUGGCUUACUUAAUUGAAACAUGGUCUUUCAAAAUGAAAAUAUUGAGUUGUGCCAAAACGCAACUGUUUCAAGUCAGUUUAACACAAUGCAUUUGUGUUUGAAUGAGAAACCUAAUACAGUGGUGUUAAAUGAAAAUGAUUUUUAAAUAAACUGAACAGUAUCGUAAAAUCAUUGCCUUUUUCGUAGUGUCUAUUUACACUAAGUGCAAAUAGCGUCCCUUGUUGGCAAACGCUAUUUACACUAGCUCCGUCCACCAAUGUCUCUAUGAUAUUAUUGCAUCCUGUUAAAAAACUACAAAAAUAUUGAGGUGCAAAUAGUAUCUGCCAAUAUAAAGUAUAGAUAGCAUCUAAUUACUAUUUACUCUUAUUGCAAAGAACUGAUACUUUUACAUGGUGUAAAUAGAAUAUAUCGCUAUUUUCACCAAGUGUAAAUAGCAUUUCGCUAAGGAAAUACUGCUAUUGUUACUUAGUGCGAAUAGAAUAUAUUGCAAUAUAUUUACUUAGUGUAAAUAGCAUCUAUCACUAAGAAAAUAUGCUAUUUUCACUUAGUGUAAAUAGCAUUUCUCGCUAUUUGCACUUCCAGGUUUAGUUAAAGACAGCAUUUAUGGUAUAAUGCCUAUUACCAAAAAAUAAAAAAAAUUCCCGUUUUUAAAAAAGGGUUAUGGCAAAGGUCAAUUUUUGGAGGAUUUUAAAAGCAGUAUUCAGUAAUAGAAGUAGUAUUUGAGCUGUAAUGCUGCUUAAAUAAGUUUGACUUAUUUUAGGCUUAUGACAAUGCAUUGUCAUGGUAACAAAGUUGUAAAAUUAAAUAUGACUUGACAGAAAAUGUAAUGUACUGUCACACAGUAACCCAGUUUUUUUUUUUUUUUUUUUU